rnacentral:snRNA from 1 species
AAAAGAAGUUUACAUCAACGAGCG